CCUCUUUUGUCCGCUUACACUCUAUUUUUUGUUAUAAUAAAAAUAUUUAAAAAAACAAAAGGGAGUGUAAGUGAAUAAAAGAGG
rnacentral:miRNA from 1 species